rnacentral:rRNA from 1 species
AUUUUUGUAUAAAUCGUCAAACAAUGCCCAUCACCUAUUUUUUAGAACUACAAAUAUUUGAUACAAUGUGUAUUAGUCUAGACGUGCGUUGCACGUGCAAGCUUACUAGUAUAUAAAAGGGUACUACUAGGCGCCGGUGCGCCGGCCAGGAUUUGGACCGGUCGCACCAAUACCGUACGAUUAGAUUAGCCCGUACGAACCACUCGAUAUGUAGCUUUUUCACCUCACUUUGUUGGAAAAUACAGAGGUGAAAGGCGGCCUUGACUCUAGCCGGUGCCACCGUCUGCCACAGCCCGCGUUGCGCGUGGAUCGCCACACGUCUGCCACAACCUGCACCGCCGGUGGUUCGCCAUGGCUACCGCCCUCGCCGUCGGCCGCCAUCCUCGUCGUCGUCGUCUACCUCCCGCGGUUGCAGCUCCCUCACUGGCAAUGGCAGCAGCAGUGGGAUGGCCGUAGCACCGAUCGCCGGUUGCACCACCCCUGCGACGUGCUUGCGAAAAAAGAAUUGUUUUUCGAGUUUGCGGGUGGCAACAAAAAUGUCCGCCGGUAGUAGGAAACAAUUGUGCUGGUUCCAACAAAAAAGCUCGUCGGUGCUGCGACCAUGUCCCCAUUGUAUCAAAAUUGAUCGCUGGUUGUAGCAAAAAUGAGAAGAGGUUCCAGCAGAACUUAAAUGUUGGAAAAAUCCUGGCGGCGACAGCACCACCAUCCUCUUGAAUUGCAGCAAAAUUGAAAAACAGUUCCAGCAAAAAUCUGAAGAGGUUCCAGCAAAAAAUACAUGGCGAUAUUAAUCUGAGGAGGUUCCAGGAUAGAUCAAUGCGCUUGCCGCACCGCUGGCAACAAGACCUCCGCGAGCCGGUUCCAACACCUUUGGCCUGUCGUCGCAGCCCCGCCGGUGACAGAUGCAGUUUUCGCCAGCAAUGGAUACAGCUUUGCCAACCAUGGAUGCAGCUUACGUCGGCCACGGAUGAAGCUUUUGCCGACGAUGGAUGCAGCGCCGCCCCUGGCCGGUCCCAGCAUCGCCGUCGGUUGGUUGUAGCAUCUCCUCCAUGUCGUUGUAGCACCUCGCCAGAUGGUUCCAGCACCUCCGCCCAACGGUUGCAGCAUCCGCCGCCCCACCAAGCGUUAGCGCGUUGAAGCACCGGCGGUUGUCAUCUCCAGCCUCGCGGGUUGCAAGGUGUCUGACCUCGCCGAGGGAGGAGGACGAGGAGAUGAACGGCCAUAGCUUCAUUAGGUUGCAAGGCGCCCAUGGCUUCCCUUUGCAACGUCGCUCGAACAAAAAGCGUGGUUGCUGUGUUUGCCGGGCUUGCCUGUGCCGCCGGAUUCUGCUACGACGGCGACUCCUUAGUCCCUUCACUUCUCUCACGGAAACAUGGGAGAGAAUAUGUGGUGGUACAGAGAUGCGGUCGGCACAGUGGAGUGAGAAAAAUGAAUGGGUGAGAAGGCGAGAAGGAACGAGAGAUAGGAUAAGGAUGCCAGCGAUGCUUGGCCCCCACGAUCAGGGAGGCGCGUGGAGGGAGU